UCUUUUUUUUUUUUUUUUUUUUUUUUUCUGGAGCUGGGGACCCAACCCAGGGCCUUGCGAACCCAGGGCCUUGCGAACCCAGGGCCUUGCGAACCCAGGGCCUUGCGAACCCAGGGCCUUGCGAACCCAGGGCCUUGCGCUUCCUAGGCAAGCGCUCUACCACUGAGCUAAAUCCCCAACCCCUCACCACUCCUUUUAAUCCAUUCAGGCUUUCCUUUAGAUUUUUUUUUAUCUCCUUGAUCAUUUAGCUCCAUUACAAUUCCUGGAGAAAAUGACUUCUCCUCAAACUAUACGUUUCAUACGUGUUGGGGUUUAUUUAAAUCUUGGCUCGAGUCCAGACAGAACACACCAAACCAACAUGGUUUCACGUGGAGAAGUUUAAUGAGAGAAGAAGAGUAGAAGAGGAGAGGAAAGGCCGGCCCAGAACGUGUGGAGGAAAUGGGGGAGGGGAAUGGGGAGAGAAGGGACAAAGGGGAAGAGCGGGGAAGGGAGCAAAGAACAAGAGCAUGAGGAGGGGCCAAGCAGCCCCUUACAUGUUGCCAGGUAACUGUGGGGCAGAGCUUGGACAGAAUACCAACAGCAUAUGUUUGCUCAGCUUCAUCCUUUUCAUUAUAGAUCAGCAUAAGAGUUGUUAUAAAUAUAUAACAGUGGUAGUGAGGGGUACCUGGCAGGCCCAGGCUAAGGUAUGCCCCUGAGUAAUUGUGCCACACAACAGAUCUGGUAUAAAGAGGGGUUACUGGGGGAAGGGAAGAGGAGUGAGGCCCUGGAGAAGGGGUAGAGACAGAAGAGUGGACAUAUAGACAGGCAGACAAAGGGGCAGAACCAUGAGGGUGUGGGGUGGGGCAUGGGAAGAGAGCUAUGGUGAUGGGCAGCCCAUAACCUGGCACACCUGGCAGUGGCAGAUGAUGAUGUAAGCUGUUGCUAGGUCCUUAUGAGGAGCCUGGUGGACAUUCCUGCAAGCUAACAAGUAUGACCACAAAUAACCAUAUGACAGAGUUAAUAAAUACCAAGUUGCCUGGAAAUCUCCUAUGCCAUAGCCAUCAAUCAAAAAUUCUUCAGUUUAACCUCAGGCAGAUCUUCAGGGCAAGGGCAACAAGCAGUCACAGUCUUUGCCAAAAUAUCACAAGAAUGGUCUGUCUCCAGGCUACUUGUUAAUAUUCUUCCCCUCUGAAACCUUUUGAACCAGGCCUUUAGAUUUUUCAUUGCUCUCAGCACCACUGUCUUCCCUGCUUCUACAAGUAUGACCCAUUAAUCCUCUCUUAAAGGUUCAUUUGCUUUCCUAAUCCCAAGUCCACAUUCUGUCAACAGGCAGCUGUCAGGCCUGUUACAGCAAUAUCCUGCUCCCUGGUACUAACUUCUGACAAAGUUACUGUUCUAUUGCUGUGAAGAGACAGCACGACCAAGACAACUCUUACAGAGAAAGGGGACUUAACGGGGGACUUACUGACAGUUUCAGAGUUCUAGUCCAUUAUUGUCGUGCAGGGAACCUGGUGCUGGAGGAGGUGCUGAGUGCUUCAUACUGAUCCGCAGACCAAGACAAAGAACAGUGGGCCCGCCAUGGACUUCAGAAACUCCACACCUCCUAAUCCUUCUAGUCCUCUGGUGAUUAAGCAUUCAAAAAUAUGUGCCUAUGGUGCCAUUCUCAUAAAAAUCACCACAUUCAUGUUGGAUGCAGAUUUUGCUUUAAGGAUGCCCAUGAGCCCAUAAGCCCUCCCCCACCCAUUGCUCUGUAAGAAAGCCUAGAGUGAACUUCGCUCUGUAAAUUCUCCAGAGUAAACUUUGUUGGAAUUAUAUUUUGAUUUGUCCUUUGCCAAUAGGUAGAGUAAACAUUGUUUAUGUCUCCCCCAGCA
ensembl:lncRNA